UACGUAGGGGGCAAGCGUUGUCCGGAAUCAUUGGGCGUAAAGCGCGUGUAGGCGGCCCGGUAAGUCCGCUGUGAAAGUCGGGGGCUCAACCCUCGAAUGCCGGUGGAUACUGUCGGGCUAGAGUGCGGGAAAGGCGAGUGGAAUUCCUGGUGUAGCGGUGAAAUGCGCAGAUAUCAGGAGGAACACCAAUUGCGAAGGCAGCUCGCUGGAACGUAACUGACGCUGAGACGCGAAAGCGUGGGGAGCAAACAGG
rnacentral:rRNA from 1 species